AUCUCCACUUAUUCAUUUGGAGAAAAGAUCAAAACAGCAAAAACUAUCUAAAACUUAACCUAAAAAAUUUGCAACACUAUUCAUCUUCUUCCUUGGAAAUCAUAGCCACCCAUCUCUCUCUCCCUCUUUCUCUUUUCCACUUUCUUCAUAACACACACAAAAUCUCCAGCUCAAGCAAGAAUAUAUGCAUACCUAUGAUAAGGAGAUGGUUUCUUUCAUCUAAACUUGAGUUUCUAUUAUUUUGAUUUUUCUUUUUUACGUCCAAGAAUAAGGGAAAAGAGGUGGUUAAAGCAUAAUGUUUUGAGUGUUGUUUUCAACUGAAAGUGAAGGAAGCUUUGGAACUCUUCAGUCACUCUAGUUUCGCACUCGAAAGCCCCAUACAUGUUCAUUUUCUAUCACAAAGUGUACCUGUGACGAUUUUUAGUUUUAUUUUGCAUGAAGCUAUGAUUUUCAUCUCUGUAAACUCUUUUUAUGUCAUUUUUUAUUGUUGUUGAAGUUUACGAUUUUGAGG